rnacentral:rRNA from 1 species
GCGGCGUGCUUAACACAUGCAAGUCGCACGAGAACGCUUCAGCUUGCUGAAGUUAGUAAAGUGGCGCACGGGUGAGUAACGCGUGGGUAAUCUACCCCCGAAUUGGGGAUAACAUUGCGAAAGCGAUGCUAAUACCGAAUGAUAUCUUAAGAACCUCGGUUUUUAAGAUCAAAGGUGGCCUCUACAUGAAAGCUUCUGUUUGGGGAUGAGCCCGCGUACCAUUAGCUUGUUGGUAGGGUAAUGGCCUACCAAGGCUACGAUGGUUAGCUGGUCUGAGAGGAUGAUCAGCCACACUGGAACUGACACACGGUCCAGACUCCUACGGGAGGCAGCAGUGAGGAAUUUUGCGCAAUGGGGGAAACCCUGACGCAGCAACGCCGCGUGAGUGAUGAAGGCUUUCGGGUCGUAAAGCUCUGUCAAGUGGGAAGAACCCACAUGGUGAUAAUACCGCCAUGUGUUGACGGUACCACUGAAGGAAGCACCGGCUAACUCCGUGCCAGCAGCCGCGGUAAUACGGGGGGUGCAAGCGUUAUUCGGAAUUACUGGGCGUAAAGAGCGCGUAGGCGGUCUUUUAAGUCAGGUGUGAAAGCCCGGGGCUCAACCCCGGAAGUGCACUUGAAACUAAGGGACUUGAGUAUGGGAGAGGGAAGUGGAAUUCCUGGUGUAGCGGUGAAAUGCGUAGAUAUCAGGAGGAACACCGGUGGCGAAGGCGACUUCCUGGACCAAUACUGACGCUGAGGCGCGAAGGCGUGGGGAGCAAACAGGAUUAGAUACCCUGGUAGUCCACGCAGUAAACGGUG